UUAACAUGAUAAGUCGACCGCCUGGGGAGUACUGCAAUCACGGUUAAAACUCAAAUAAGUUGACGGGGGACUCCACAAACGGUGGAGCAAUGUGGUUUAAUUUUUGUCAUCACGAGGAACCUUACCAAACCUACACAUAUUAUGAAUUUGAAACCAGGGUUAGAUACCCCAGUAUACUUAUUCUUAAAUUUUAAAUCUAGAUUAUUAGUAGAUAUAUUCUUGAAAAUCAAAGAAUUUGGCGGUAUCUUAAUCUUAUUAGAGGAACCUGUUUUAUAAACGAUAAACCACGAAAAAUCUUAUUUGUUUUAAAUAGUUUGUAUACCGUCAUUAUUAGAUAAUUUUGGAAAAAUUAAUUAUUGGAAUUAAAUCUAAAAGUUUUAAAUAUAUUAGAUCAAGGUGCAGCUUAUAAACAAGAAAAGAAUGGGUUACAAUAAAUUAAUUUAAAUGGAAGAUAUUCUUAAAUGAGUUUCUGAAGGCGGAUUUAAUUGUAUAUUUAAAUYKWAUAUGAKAAAUASARRUYGGCUCUAAGAUAUGUACAUAUCGC
rnacentral:rRNA from 1 species